UCGGACUAGCGGCGAAUGGGUGAGUAACACGUGCUUAAUCUACCCUUCAGAUUGGAAUACCCAAUGGAAACAUUGGCUAAUGCCGGAUACGCAUGGAAUCGCAUGAUUCCGUUGUGAAAGGGGCCUCAAAGCCCCACUGAAGGAUGAGGGUGCGGAACAUUAGUUAGUUGGUAGGGUAAUGGCCUACCAAGACUAUGAUGUUUAGCCGGGUCGAGAGACUGAACGGCCACAUUGGGACUGAGAUACGGCCCAAACUCCUACGGGAGGCAGCAGUAGGGAAUAUUCCACAAUGAGCGAAAGCUUGAUGGAGCGACACAGCGUGCACGAUGAAGGUCUUCGGAUUGUAAAGUGCUGUUAUAAGGGAAGAACACUCAGAGGAGGAAAUGCCUUUGAGCUGACGGUACCUUGUCAGAAAGCGAUGGCUAACUAUGUGCCAGCAGCCGCGGUAAUACAUAGGUCGCAAGCGUUAUCCGGAAUUAUUGGGCGUAAAGCGUUCGUAGGCUGUUUAUUAAGUCUGGAGUCAAAUCCCGGGGCUCAACCCCGGCUCGCUUUGGAUACUGAUAAACUAGAGUUGGAUAGAGGUAAGCGGAAUUCCAUGUGAAGCGGUGAAAUGCGUAGAUAUAUGGAAGAACACCAAAGGCGAAGGCAGCUUACUGGGUCUAUACUGACGCUGAGGGACGAAAGCGUGGGGAGCAAACAGGAUUAGAUACCCUGGUAGUCCACGCCGUAAACGAUGAUCAUUAGUCGGUGGAGAGUUCACUGACGCAGCUAACGCAUUAAAUGAUCCGCCUGAGUAGUAUGCUCGCAAGAGUGAAACUUAAAGGAAUUGACGGGGACCCGCACAGCGGUGGGAGCAUGUGGUUUAAUUUGAAGAUACACGGGAGACCUUACCCACUCUUGACAUCUC
rnacentral:rRNA from 1 species